rnacentral:rRNA from 1 species
UACGGGGGGAGCAAGCGUUGUUCGGAUUUACUGGGCGUAAAGGGCGCGUAGGCGGCCAGCACAAGUCAGUUGUGAAAUCUCCGGGCUUAACUCGGAAAGGUCAACUGAUACUGUGCGGCUAGAGUGCAGAAGGGGCAACUGGAAUUCUCGGUGUAGCGGUGAAAUGCGUAGAUAUCGGGAAGAACACCUAUGGCGAAGGCAGCUCUCUGGGACGGUACUGACGCUGAGACGCGAAAGCGUGGGGAGCGAACAGG